rnacentral:rRNA from 1 species
AUUGAACGCUGGCGGCAUGCCUUACACAUGCAAGUCGAACGGCAGCACGGGAGCUUGCUCCUGGUGGCGAGUGGCGAACGGGUGAGUAAUACAUCGGAACGUACCCAGUAGUGGGGGAUAACGCACCGAAAGGUGCGCUAAUACCGCAUACGACCUACGGGUGAAAGCGGGGGACCGUAAGGCCUCGCGCUAUUGGAGCGGCCGAUGUCUGAUUAGCUAGUUGGCGGGGUAAAAGCCCACCAAGGCGACGAUCAGUAGCUGGUCUGAGAGGACGAUCAGCCACACUGGGACUGAGACACGGCCCAGACUCCUACGGGAGGCAGCAGUGGGGAAUUUUGGACAAUGGGGGCAACCCUGAUCCAGCAAUGCCGCGUGAGUGAAGAAGGCCUUCGGGUUGUAAAGCUCUUUUGUCAGGGAAGAAACAGCAGCUCUAACACAGUUUGCGAAUGACGGUACCUGAAGAAUAAGCACCGGCUAACUACGUGCCAGCCGCCGCCGUAA